UUCCGCGCAUGUUCGCGUGGGUGCCGGUUACGCAAGGAGGCCAACACAUGGCCGCAGGAACAGUUAAAUGGUUCAACGCCCAGAAGGGCUUUGGAUUUAUCCAGCCUGAUGAUGGAAGCGCUGACGCUUUCGUUCACAUCUCCGCCGUCGAGCAGGCUGGCCAGCAGACCCUGAACGAGGGACAGGCCGUGACGUAUGACCUCGAAAGGGGCCGUAACGGCAAGUCUUCCGCAGUCAAUCUGAAGAUUGGCUGACAAUUGCGGCAGGAACUUCGGUUCCUGCCGUUUUU
rnacentral:misc_RNA from 1 species